UCCACUGACGCAAAAGAUCCUAACUCUCUCUUCCUUCUUUACAAAGCUGAUGUGUGCAUUUUGUGUCCCUCUGCCACAAAUGUUGCCAGCGGCUGGGGCUGAAGAUGAAGGACAGGCUGGAGGAAUUGAGGGUCCGAGUUAAUGAAGAUGAGGACUCUUUGGAUAUUGAUGAUACUCUCUCAUUUGAUAACCCUAUUUUCCAGGAGGAUGAGACCAAUCCCAUGAGCAAAAUAUUCCAGGAAGUGUCAGAUCUCUCACUGGCCCUGAAUAAACUGGAGGAGUUAGCAGAGACCAUUGACAAGAAGCAGCAGCAGGUGCUGUGCUGUACCACUGAGGAGAGCAUUUAUGAAGAAAAGAAAGAGCUAAGUAUCAUUAAAGCCUCCUUCACUAGUCAGGCUAAAGUCAUCCAGCCUCAGCUCAAUGGGAUUCAAGACACACUGGCCCGAGAUAGCAAACAAUGGCUGGCCGGAUACCGCAUCCACCAGAGCCAGCUCUCCAUCCUAAUCAGCCAGUACCGAGACAUCAUCACGCACCAUUAUGCCAAGGAGAUGGAAUACGUGGGGAAGUUGAAGGAACAGAUUGUGAGGCAAACUGAGCUGGCGGGCUUGAGCCUAUGUGAAGAGGACAUUAAUCAGCUAGUGGAAAGCCACCUGGCACCUCGUAUUGUGGGCCAAGACCUGGAAAUGCUCAAGGCCAAGCAGCACUUGGCCAUGGCCCAGGUACGCCACCAGCAGCUGCUGGACCUAGAAGCCCAGAUCAGUGAGCUGCACUCACUGUUCCUGCACUUGGAGGUGCUGGUUUCAGAGUCAUACGAUGUCAUCAACAACAUUGAGUACAACAUCCUGCAUACACUUGAUUAUGUCUCCCAGUCCAAUGAGGAGGUGAAGAAAGCCCUAAAGUACGAGCGCCAGUCGCGGAUCUCGGCUAUGCUGUCAGCGAUGCUGGGCCUUUGUGCAUGUUGCGCGUGUUUAUCAUGUGUAGCUGGCAAAGUGCGGUGACACGGACUCUGCAAAGGAAGGUGAUAGCUACCUUCCAUGGACCUCAGCAGCAGCCAGGCUAUUUGAGGGCAGUGAAUGUGGAUUACCCCCGUGGACGAGCUCCACUCCCUCACUGGAAGAAAGUGUCCCAUGAUUUGAAUGGAUUUGAAAGCAGGUUUUCUUGUGUCUUACAUUUGAGGAAGGAUUUCACUGAGUUUUUUGGUAGGACACUGGCAAUCAGUCUCAUGUUCCUACUAUUAUUUUAAGAUGGUAUGUUCUAUCUUUAACAGUGUCCUUAAAAUUAUUUAAUAUAUAUUAAUAAGAAAGGCAUUUCGUGUUUCUGAUCAAAUACAACUUUGCAUAAAAAAGCUCCUGCUAAAACUUGUGUUGUAUCAUUGGUCAUUAUAAAGCAAGCAAACAAACAACAGUUCAGUUUCCCAAUUUGAUUAUAAUGCUCCUCCACCGAGGUUUAAAACCUUAAUCUACUUGGGCAUGUUUUUAUUAUUUGGAUUUUUCAUAUGGAGUUGACUCAGUGUUUGUUGUGUUUUGUUGUUAAACAAGUGUUUCAGAUUUCAAAAUGCUUCUAGUCCUGGUGCCCUCCAAGUGCCUGGAAAUACCUACAAUAUGAAUGAAGUGUGAUGUUUACAUAAGCCGUUUUUGUUUCAAGCUUCUGUUACAGGACUGGAGGAGUUAGCUUUCCUUCACACGGGUGUGUGUUUGUGUUUGUUCAUGUGUUUGAAAUGAAGGGAUAGAAUUAAAUGCAAUGGAAUUUAAUCAUUUGAAAUUCCAUUUUACAGUUUUCUGGUGGAGCUUCCAUCAGGUAUAAUUUCAGUCUUGUUCUUUCAUUUGAUUCAGUUUCUGUUUCCAUGGAACUUUCAAGAUUAGUGGUAAACAAAACCAGCUCUUCUUAUAUGAUCAGUAAUUUUGCAGUGGUCCAUUUAAUACUCAAUGGCCAUUCAAGCUAACAAUAUUACAGCUCAAAAUUCAAGUUUUAUUGGUUCAGUAUAGUGCAAAAAUAAUGCGGGUGAGCACAUUGGCAAAAACUUUCAGGGCUGUUUUUUUUCAAGGAUCUGAUCUAAUCGAAUCUAGUCUUCUUUGUAAGAAUGCUGUUCAGUUGGAGAGAAUCAAGCUGGGUGAGGCAAUAUCUUAUACUGGACCAACUUCUGUGGGUGAGAGAGGCAAGCUUUUGAGCUUACACAAGUCUGGGAAAGAUUAAAAAACAGCAAAUGGUCUGGGAAAGGUUCUCUGAGUGUCACAGCUAAACAGAAGGUGAAACAGACUGUUUAGCAUAAGUAGUUUUUUCCUGCACUUCCCCCUUAUGACUGGAUAUGUAUUAAUGGGACAUUUUGCAUUGUACAGUCCAUUGAAAUGUUUUAACUACUUAUGCUAAACAAGCUGUUCCACCUUCUAUGUAGCUGUGACACUCUAGUACAUUCCCCAGACUGGAAGAAGAGCUCUCUGAUUGAUAAACAUUAUCUUACCCACCUUGGCUCUCUCAUGUCCUGGGACCAAGAUGGCUACAACAGCACCACAUACAGUCUAAUGUUAUAACAUUGUGAGGAAAGUUUUAUAUGCAAAAAUAUCACUUUUCAAAGGAACAACUGAAUUAUGUGAUGAUCUCUAAAAUAAAAAUACAAGUUGCCAGAAGCCACAUAAGCAAAAGCUGAUGUGAACAGUACAUGUAUUUGAAACUUUAACAGUAGUUUUCCAUAAACAUUGAGAAUCAAGUAAUGUAAUGGGGAUUUGCCAUGGACUAGUGACAUUUCAAUAUAAUAGGGGUCAGUUUAAGAUUCUCAGGAAUUUUUGGAGAGAGCAUUUAUGUAUUGAGCAUUUUCUUGUGUUGUGCCUAGACUAGCUCUCCCACUCUUGUAUUAGCUCUAAUAGAAACAUUGCUGUAAUAUUCUUGUGCAUGAAUAAAUUAUUUCUUGGAAAGCAGUUACUCCAACAUUUAUGAAGAGUUGGAACUAAUUUGAUUCAGAUUCGGAUUUAUGGUGUGUAACCUGGAAUUAGAUUUUGCUAAAUCUAUUCAUAGAACAUUUGCCUUCCAAAUAGGUGAGAAAUUGUAUAACUUUUAUCUCUCUACAGCUGUUUGUUAUGCUAAAAAACACACUCAUUUUAUUUGGUCUUCUGAGAAGAACUUCAGUUGAGAGAACAGUUGAUUCGCUGCUUUGUUUGCCAGAUUAAUUCUUUCAGCUCCCACUGACUUCUUAACAGGGUUGGACACACGUUCAACAAAUGCAUUUCAGCUUUCGUCUUACAAUGUGUUCCUGUCGAGUCUUGAAUCUAGUACUUGAACCCAGGAGCCUGCUCCAAGGGGAUUUCCUAAAGAAGAAAUCAAACAAAAAGUAACAAACAGACAUCAAAUGUUUAUUUACAUUUAAAAUGUCAUCGAACAACAUUAAGGGCUGUUAUAUUUGAUCAUUUCAUCCCUUUCUGCCUUUCAACAACAGCACUAUUUAUACACCGCUCAUUGAAAUGGCUGAUGUCUCCAGAGACUUUAUAAUUUCAAAGCCAUGGACAGCAAGGAAAUAGUAUCUAUCAGCAGUGUCUGUUUUAAAUAUUUCUGAAUUUAAAUCAGCUAAAGAAAGCAAUCUCAUGUCAGAGCACAGACCAAUGCCACAAGGCAAUCAAGACUAGCAAGUAAUAAGGAUCAUAUCUCACACCAAGGGAGUAAGUACAGUGAGUGUACAUUGGAUUGAUGGACUAUGUAAAAUGGACUGUACCAAGAGAUUAAAGGGCAGCAAUUACUUUUUAUUCUCCACUCUCUUGGCAAAGGGAAGAAUGGUUGUACAUUUGAAAAGGAGCUGGCACAUAUUGAGAGAGGAGUGGGACAGGAGCCCCCUUAAUUGUGACCAAUGGACA